rnacentral:rRNA from 4 species
UUUGACCUCGAAUCAAGUAGGAUUACCCGCUGAACUUAA